CACGUAGGGCGCGAGCGUUGUCCGGAAUUAUUGGGCGUAAAGAGCUCGUAGGCGGCUUGUCGCGUCGAUUGUGAAAGCCCGGGGCUUAACUCCGGGCCUGCAGUCGAUACGGGCAGGCUAGAGUGUGGUAGGGGAGAUCGGAAUUCCUGGUGUAGCGGUGAAAUGCGCAGAUAUCAGGAGGAACACCGGUGGCGAAGGCGGAUCUCUGGGCCAUUACUGACGCUGAGGUGCGAAAGCGUGGGGAGCAAACAGG
rnacentral:rRNA from 1 species